GACCCUGUAAAUACCAACUAACACAUUAAAAUCUGGUUUUAUGAGAGAAUUUUGUGGUUAUGAGUCUUACUAGAUACAUCAUUCACCUUCAUUGAAAUGUGCUAACGAUUUUUUCGAUUUUCAAAAUAUCCCCCCUUUUUUCCCGCACAGACAUAAUUAAAAUUAUUUGCACCAAAAUAUCCAAGAAAAUAUUACAAAUUCAAAUUAAAUGUUCUCAUAUAAAUAUUUUAAAUGAAUAUUUAUUGUUUAAUAUAUACCAUUAUCAAGUUUUGUCAUUUAUUAUUUUUAAUAAUUUUAUAAUCGUUUUAUAAUAGUGCACGUUCAGCAGUCCUCGGGUUUUACCGCCGCAUACUACGAAAACUCUGAGCCUGCGCACUUACCGCCUGAAUUUUGAAAACAGUGAUAAAAGUUGCAGUGAAAUAUUUAUCUCGAUUCAGAUUCCAGAACAAAGAAAAAGAAUCUUGUAUAAAAAUCCACAGAUCCAAUGUGUGAUCAUGUGUCUACAAUGUAAGCAUGUACAUGUACCAGAUCAAAAAGAUGGACCAAGAUAUAAAAAGAUACCGAAAACCAACACAACACCAGCUGAUGAGAGGGCAGAAAACCAAAACUUUGAAUGCCAUGUAUACAACCAACACAAGACUAG